rnacentral:lncRNA from 10 species
UACUGGAAAAAUCACCCAGGAGGCAGCGUGGACAAUGGAUUGGAGAAGGGCGAACAUUCAGUCAGAGACUUUGCUUACUGUAAAUUAGAGGGAGCAAAUUGGAGGAGAAAUGACAAAAGAAACAGAAAAAAUGUUUAAUCAGACAAAGGAACUAAAAAACCUCAGUCUUAAUUAGAAGAUGGUCAAACAAAUCUCUUAACUGAUGUUCACAAUGAUGGUUUCAAGUCAUCUAAGGAAUGGGAUAGCUCCUCUCCUCCAGAAUAACUGAGGAGCCUGAAUAAUUGACUCUAUCAUUUGAAACCUAUAUCCUGAACAUGUUUCAGUAAUAAUUCUGUGACCAUAAUUCUGUGUCUCGUUCUCCUUUCAAGACUGAAUGAUAGAGACAGAUGCAGACUCAAGGGGUAAUUGAAAAGAACUUAUUGAAGGGUCUAUUUACAAAAGUGUGGGCAGCAUAAAGAAACUAACAAAAGAUGGUAAAAUACCCAAGGACUAGUCACAACAGGAAGAAUUUACCACCCCUAGACCCCAGAGGACAGAGGAAGGAGCUGUUUCUAGAACCA